AAAACAUGUCCUUUUGAGAUUAAUUUAAGGUCGGGCCUGCCCCCUGAUGUUAAUUAAAGGGCCGCGGUAUUUUGACCGUGCAAAGGUAGCAUAAUCAUUAGUCUCUUAAUUGGAGGCUGGUAUGAAUGGUUUGACGAAACAUUAACUGUCUCUUUAUAAUAAGUAGAAUUUAACUUUUAAGUCAAAAGGCUUAAAUUGAUAUAAAAGACGAGAAGACCCUGUAGAUCUUUAUAUAAAGGAUAUUUUUAUUUUGUUUAGAGGUCUUGUUAAUAGAAGUAUUGUUAUAUUUUGUUGGGGUGAUAUGAAGAUAUAAUAAACUCUUUAUAAUUAUAACAUUGAUAUAUGAUUGUUUGAUCCGUUAUUAGCGAUUGUAAGAUAAAGUUACCUUAGGGAUAACAGCGUAAUUUUUUUUAAGAGUUCUUAUCGACAAAAAAGAUUGCGACCUCGAUGUUGGAUUAAGGAAUAUGAUUAGGUGCAGAAGCUUAAUUAAUAAGUCUGUUCGACUUUUAAAUCCUUACAUGAUCUGAGU
rnacentral:rRNA from 1 species